rnacentral:rRNA from 1 species
UACGUAGGGGGCAAGCGUUGUCCGGAAUCAUUGGGCGUAAAGAGCGUGUAGGCGGCCCGAUAAGUCCGCUGUGAAAGUCCAGAGCUCAACCCUGGGAUGCCGGUGGAUACUGUCGGGCUCGAAUCCGGAAGAGGUGAGUGGAAUUCCUGGUGUAGCGGUGAAAUGCGCAGAUAUCAGGAGGAACACCAAUGGCGAAGGCAGCUCACUGGGACGGUAUUGACGCUGAGACGCGAAAGCGUGGGGAGCAAACAGG